rnacentral:lncRNA from 1 species
UUGAAACUUAAGGCUGCAGCUUAUGAUGCUGAAGACUUGCUUGACAAGCUUGCAGCACAUCUGAAGAAAUCUGAAGCACAGGAAGCACAUUUUUCCAGCUUCUUUGAUGCAAAAAAGAUUGUAUUUGAUGCAGAUGAGGUGAGAAAGAAGCUUCAGGAAUUGCAAACUGUAGCACUAGAGGGUUCUAACUUCAAUCUUCAACAGGGUAAUAUGAUAGCAGCUAGUCAAUUUGAUGAGAGGGAAACAGGCUGUUUUGUUAUUGAAUCAGAAAUCUAUGGAAGAAACAAGGAUAAGGAGGAGAUAGUAAAACUGUUAUUGUCACGUGAAGAAACCAACAAAGGAAAUUUGUCCUUCAUUCCGAUCAUCGGUAUGGGAGGACUAGGCAAGACAACUCUUGCUCAGUUAGCGUAUUACGAUGAUGAGGUGACACAACAUUUUGAUGUUAAACUAUGGGUUUUUGUUUCUGAUGCUUUUGAUGUAAGGAUAAUAAAGGAAGCAAUUGAGUCUGCAACAAUGGAAAAAUGUGAAAAUUUGGCGGUAAAUGUGCUUCAGUCCAAGCUCUGGGCAUUGCUGCACAAGAAAAGGUACUUAGUUGUGUUGGAUGAUGUUUGGAAUGAAGAUCAGAAGGCAUGGGACAAACUAAAACCUGUAUUCGUGGGUGGCAUGGAUGGGAGUAAAAUAGUUAUCACUACCCGAAACCAAAAAGUUGCACUUGUAACAAGCUUCCCAACUUAUCCAUACUAUUUGAAAGAACUGGACGAGGAUGAUUGCUGGAAGUUGUUCAAGCAUCGAGCUUUCCCACGAGGAGAAGAAAGUAAGUAUCCGAACCUUGUACCAAUAGGAAAAGAGAUCAUUAAAAAAUGUGGAGGUAUUCCAUUAGCAGUGAAAACUAUGAGUGUUUCGAUGCGCUUUAAGAAACAGGAAAGAGAGUGGUUAUUUGUUCAAAACAGUGAUCUAUGGAAAUUAGAUGUAUACCAUAAAGAAAUUUUACCUGUAAUGAAAUCCAGCUACCUUCUUUUACCAUCUCACCUCAAACGCUGCUUUGCUUUCUGCUCAAUUCUCCCCAAAGGAUAUGAAAUCAAGAAGGAGAAACUAAUCCAAUUGUGGAUGGCAGUAGGGUUAAUUCGAUCUGAUGGAACAAGAAAACCGCUGGAGGACAUUGGCGAAGAGUACUUCCAGGACUUAAUAUGGAAGUCUUUCUUCCAUGAUUCAGGAGAUUUUGACAAUGGUGACAAAAGUGGAUACAGAAUGCACCAUAUCAUUCACGACCUUGCACAAUCUGUUGCAGGACAUGAUUCUAUUGUUCUAGAGAAAGGUCUUCCAUCAUGUAGUCUUACUCAAAUUCGUCAUGCUGCUGUGGUUUGUGAUUCUAAGAAUCCUGAAAUCCAUCAAGCUUUGUGCAAGGCAAAACGUUUGCGAACUCUCAUACUGUCUCCUGGAGGUGACACCACAGAGUUUCCUGAUCAAUUGUUUGCAACUUCCACAUUUUUGCGCGUGCUAGAUAUGAGUGCAUCUGGCCUUCAUUACCUAGUCCACUCCAUUGGUAACUGCCUGUGCUUGAGAUAUCUUGACCUUUCAUACACACCAAUCAGGUUCUUGCCUUACGGUACAGUCGAACAACUGCCAUUUUUGCAAACUUUGAAUCUUUGUGGUUGCAUUAACCUCAAGGAAUUGCCUAUUAUUGCAAAAAUGAUGAGCCUAAGACAUCUCGAUAUAACUGGAUGCGAAUCACUGACUGCCAUGUCGCCUUCUUUUGAUGCACUGUAUAAAAAUUACGGACGUUCCUUCAGUAGGGCAGCCCAACAUGAGAAAUUCUUUAACUCAACAUUUGAGCCUGGAUUCUCUUCUCAGCUACAUAUAUUGCCAACAAUUGUAGUUGGUGGUUUUCUAGACCUCAUGUUUCUAGGAAGGUUAAACCUUCAAGGUGAGUUAAAGAUCAUACAUUUGGAGAACGUCAAUACUUCAAAUGAUACAGAGAAUGCCAAUUUGAUGGAGAAAGACAACCUUGAUUCUUUAGGACUAUACUGGGGGGAGAAACAUGACAUAUCCAUCCUAAAUCCAGUGCAGGAGGAUUCAAAACCUCCAUUCUUGAAAAGAGAACAGCAUCAUUCAACUGGAUCAUCAGAACAGCACCAAAGUGAUGCUAAUGCAGCAGAAGAAGUUGCCAAAGGCCUCCAACCACACCAAAAUUUGAAGAUGUUAGUUGUGAAAGGGUAUCCAGGAAAUAGAUUUCCACAUUGGAUGCUGCCGAAUCUAACCAAGGUUGAUUUGAGAGAUUGCCCGAAUUGCAAUUAUCUUCCUGUCCUAGGGAAUCUUUUGUUUCUAAAGACUCUCAUCCUGCAUGGAAUGCCUUCUCUGGUGCAUAUUGGGACAGAGUUCUAUGGUGAAGCCAGUGGGCAACUGUUCCCUUCACUUGAAGAACUUGUUCUCAGUGAUUUCCUUAAUCUGCAAGAAUGGCUUGAUCCAGAUGGAAAAGAUGCCUUCCCUAAGCUGAGCAAAUUAAUUGUCAAGAAAUGUCCCAAGCUGAUUUCAAUGCCAUUACUUGCCUCUCUUGAACACUUGGAAAUACGGAAGUGUAGUGCAGUUCUGUUUAAUUCCAUAAAGAGCGCAUCCUCUCUUACAGUUCUUGCCAUUGAGGAUGUAGCAGAGUUUUCGCCAUCAUCAGAAGGGAUCUUUGUGAACAAUCCUCUCCUUUCUUCUUUGGAGAUAAUAGCUUGCCCAGGGCUUUGUUUUCUGCCAUCAGAGUUGGGAAACCUCAAUGCUCUCAAGUCAUUGAAAAUUCAUAGGUGUGAAGAGCUCUCCUCUUUCCAACAAGGUUUCCAGCACUUCAAGGCUUUAGAAAGUUUAGAAAUUUGUCACUGCCACUGUAUUUCUAUACCAGAGGGGAUUGGAAGUAUCAGUUCCCUCAGAAGUUUAUGCAUAGACAAUUGUGACAAUUUGACAUCAUUACCUUUGAGUUUGAAGAAUCUCACAUGUCUUGAGCACUUGACCAUCAUGAACUGUCGAAAUCUCGUGUCUUUGCCAGAGGACAUGCAUCGACUUUCUGCUCUUCAAAGUUUGACCAUCUUAAGCUGUUCCCAGGUUUUGUCUCUGCCUGAAGAGUUGCAGCAUAUCACAACAAUGCAUUGAGGUAUUGUGCUGUUCUCACAGCUUUGCCAGAAUGGAUUGGAGACACAGUCACUGUGAUAAUUGAUAAUCUCAGAUUGGCUUGGUCUGAAUCAAUUGCUACAAGAUCUGAAACGUCUAAAUACUCUUCUGCAUCGGUCAAUUCAAGGGUCCUGAAAUUUUGGAAAGAUGCAAAAAAGAAGUUGGUGACAAUUGGCCAAAAAUAAUCCGUGUUCCACACUAAAAUAUUGGAUCAACUGAGGUCAGUCAGCUGAAUGAAGCAGUCAGCUAGAUUUUAUUCUGAAGCAACCAACUUCCUGUCCAUUUUCAUUAACAUCGUUCUCAUGAUGAUAAAUAAUUUCUUUUCUUUCCAUCUUUUAUUGAUGUAUGGUCCCCCUUGUUACUUGUAUCCCAAUUAUCCCUGUACUGUUCAAACACUGUUGUCUGUAUAAUUUUCUUGUCAAUCACUGCUAUCUGUGACUCUAUAAUUUUCUUUCUCCAGAUAUAGAGAACAAAUCUCAAUUAUGAGCGAGGAUACUGUUCUAGAAAGCUAGAAAAGAGAUAAGAAUGGUAUAUUUUUAAAAGAGAAGUUAAAAUAAAUAAGAUAGUAUUGAUGAAUAAAACUUCCAAAGACAGAAUCCUGCUGGAAAAAAAAAAGGCUUUGCAAUCCCUAUAUUUUCUGAGUGGCUAUUCCUAUUCUUGUGAAAAUAUCAAAUUCUUCAUUCGUGGAUGCUGAUAAUCCUCAACAUAAACCAACAGAACAAGAACACUAGCGAUAUUAUCCAAGCAAAUAUUGGCAAGUUGUUGUACAAUAAGUAAAAAAUCUUAAAUUAUUAUGUCUAAGCCUUUGAUUUACACAAACGAAGAUGAAAUCUAUCAAUGCACAGGAACACAUCAACGGAAAAUGGAUAACCCAAAAGCUAGUGAUUUCGUCAUAGCACAACAGGUGAACAUCUGAACCAGUUCAGAGAAAUUCAAAAGUAAAAAAAGAAAAGGUUACCUGAAGGCAAGUAGACUCAGUCCCAUUUUUUAAUCCCCCAAAUUCAAUACUUCAAUAUCGCAUUAUCAAGUUCUCAUCAAAAUUUUUGGUUAUUAUUGGCCUCAAAUCCUACUUAAUUGGCUAUCACUGCCACUGGAAGCAACUCCAUUCAGGAUUUCUCAUCUGCUCUGCUCUGCUUCCGCUUGGAAACUGUUACCUGCUAUAACCGUUGGGAGUUGGCCUUGACGGAUAUCAGUAUUGAAUUCGGGGGAUUAAAACAUGGACUUUUGGGUGAAG